GGGCCGCACCUACAGUAGGAGGUGGGAGCCGGAGUCCUGGGCUGCACCUGCCACUCCGCCAGGCACUCGCGGUCCCGGUAGGCCUGCUCGCCUUCCUGGGCUCAGGUGGCCCACGCCGCUCUGGGUUCCUCCUCAGGAGAAAGACUGUCACAGACACCAUAUGACCAUCAUCAUGGCAGCACCCAUACCCAACUAUGCAGUGAGCUGGAAGAUUGGAGCAGCAGGAGGAUGACCAGUGCCUCCCAUGUUCCCUCCUCCUAGAGCUGGCCAGAGAGAGAUGGUAGCCGAGGAAAGCUCCAGGAAAAACAAAACAGGGAAGGUGGUGGACACAGGCGAAUUUGAAGGGUGGCCUUGAAAAGAUGCAAGGUUAGAUGUCGAUGUAUUUGUGGAAACCCUAUUGGAAGUUACUAGUGCAGGGACAAGGAAGGAACAACGCCCCAGCAACCUCAGAGGAAGUAGGAGGGACACCUUGCCCUGUCUCCUCAGCUCCCAGAGUCCAGAAGUACUUGAAGUCAAUGUCCCUCAGGCUUCAGGUGCUUUAACUGGCCGCUGAUGGGUGACUCAAGGACUCCACAUCAGUUUAACUUCCUGUUUAGAGUAAAUAGCCAGUGUUGUGUCCCUUGCAA